ACUACGGGAGGCAGCAGUGGGGGAUAUUGCACAAUGGGGGAAACCCUGAUGCAGCGACGCCGCGUGUGGGAAGACGGUCCUCUGGAUUGUAAACCACUGUCCCCAGGGACGAAGAUGACGGUACCUGGGGAGGAAGCUCCGGCUAACUACGUGCCAGCAGCCGCGGUAAUACGUAGGGAGCGGGCGUUGUCCGGAAUUACUGGGUGUAAAGGGAGCGUAGGCGGGACUGCAAGUUGGGUGUCAAAUCUACCGGCUCAACCGGUAGCCGCACUCAAAACUGCAGUUCUUGAGUGAAGUAGAGGCAGGCGGAAUUCCUAGUGUAGCGGUGAAAUGCGUAGAUAUUAGGAGGAACACCAGUGGCGAAGGCGGCCUGCUGGGCUUUUACUGACGCUGAGGCUCGAAAGUGUGGGGAGCAAACAGGAUUAGAUACCCCAGUAGUC
rnacentral:rRNA from 1 species